rnacentral:lncRNA from 1 species
GUGUAGAACGGUAAUGAAGCUAACUGUCGUUUCCAACGGUAAAUCGUGACUUCAGCCCUGUGUAUCCUGUAUUCACCGCAGAGCCAGCAGACAUCAUGAGGGGAGCUCACAGAGGUCAGGAGGACCUAAAUUAGGCAGCAGGGAGUGUUUUCAAGUGACCGGAAACCCAGGUCAAAGUAGCUUAAGCGAAGAGGAGAAUCCGUUGGCUCGCCCGACAUCCGUUGGCUUCAGGAAUGGCCUGGAGUGGAAUCAGCUAAGAAACACAGGAAUUGUGGCAGAGACCUCAGGAGGCACCAGUCUCUAGUUAAGGCUCCACGCUAACCUUAGGUCGGUCUUUCUUAAAAUUUGGCCAAAGCUUCAUUCCAGCAGGAUCCAGGGACCCAUGGAGGCGGUGGGUCACCAUAAGGAUGUCCCCAGAAAGGCAGAGGUGGCACACGCCGUCCCAUUCCCCAGCCGAUCCGCAGGGCUCAGGAGAGGAAAUCAAAAGGAAGAGUAAGGAUAACAAGAGGCCAGUUGCUGAGAGACCUGUAAACGGGUCUGAUCUGCAGAAGAGGACCAGGAGCCGCCCAUUACACCACAUAUCCCCAGCCCCAGUCUGUGGUCCGGACACCGCAGAUCAGAACCACGCCCACACCUAGCAGUGGCCGGGGCAGCCGGGGCCGCCCUCAUGACCACAGCAAAUAGCGACAAUUGUCGGCAAAGAAGGGAAUAAACUCCGAGGUGUUCUGUGGUUCCA